UAUCAAUAAGCGGAGGAAAAGAAACCAACAGGGAUUGCCCCAGUAACGGCGAGUGAAGCGGCAACAGCUCAAAUUUGAAAUCUGGCCCCAGGCCCGAGUUGUAAUUUGCAGAGGAUGCUUUUGGCGAGGUGCCUUCCGAGUUCCCUGGAACGGGACGCCAUAGAGGGUGAGAGCCCCGUACGGUUGGACACCAAGUCUUUGUAAAGCUCCUUCGACGAGUCGAGUAGUUUGGGAAUGCUGCUCAAAAUGGGAGGUAUAUUUCUUCUAAAGCUAAAUAUUGGCCAGAGACCGAUAGCGCACAAGUAGAGUGAUCGAAAGAUGAAAAGCACUUUGAAAAGAGGGUUAAACAGCACGUGAAAUUGUUAAAAGGGAAGCGCUUAUGACCAGACUUGCGCCCGGUGAAUCACCCAGCUCUCGCGGCUGGGGCACUUUGCCGGCUCAGGCCAGCAUCAGCUCGCUGUCGGGGACAAAAGCUUCGGGAACGUAGCUCUCUUCGGGGAGUGUUAUAGCCCGUUGCAUAAUACCCUUCGGCGGGCUGAGGUACGCGCUCCGCAAGGAUGCUGGCGUAAUGGUCAUCAGCGACCCGUCUUGAAACACGGACCAAGGAGUCAACCUUAUGUGCGAGUGUUUGGGUGUUAAACCCCUACGCGUAAUGAAAGUGAACGCAGGUGAGAGCUUCGGCGCAUCAUCGACCGAUCCUGAUGUUCUCGGAUGGAUUUGAGUAAGAGCAUAUAGGGUUGGACCCGAAAGAAGGUGAACUAUGCGUGUAUAGGGUGAAGCCAGAGGAAACUCUGGUGGAGGCUCGCAGCGGUUCUGACGUGCAAAUCGAUCGUCAAAUAUGCGCAUGGGGGCGAAAGACUAAUCGAACCUUCUAGUAGC
rnacentral:rRNA from 1 species